CCUACGGGUGGCUGCAGUAAGGAAUAUUGGUCAAUGGACGCAAGUCUGAACCAGCCAUGCCGCGUGAAGGAUGAAGGUCCUCUGGAUUGUAAACUUCUUUUAUGUGGGACGAAACCUCUUAUUCUUAAGAGACUGACGGUACCAUAGGAAUAAGCACCGGCUAACUCCGUGCCAGCAGCCGCGGUAAUACGGAGGGUGCAAGCGUUAUCCGGAUUCACUGGGUUUAAAGGGAGCGUAGGAGGGCAGGUAAGUCAGUGGUGAAAUCUUCGAGCUUA
rnacentral:rRNA from 1 species